ACAUCUCUUAGAAAGAGGUGUCCCAAAGUUGGAACACCGCGAUCUUUUCCCUGGGACAUUGUCUCUUUGAGUCCUCACGUGUGACGUUACUAUCUUAUCUCCAGAUCCAAAGAAGCGUCUUUCUCUGAUUCCUUUUAUCUGGAAGAACUGAGAGGAGACGGGCGAACGGUUGUGAGAAUCUCUUUAAGGGGCAGUCCUGGAAUGAGUGAAGUGCACCGCUGACUCCUGGCCGCCUGUCUCUCCUAUGGCCUGGCAUCUUCACAGAUGCAGAUUUUGAAAAUGCAUUUCUCCUUUAUCUGAGAGCCCCUCCUGCCCCCUCCUCCAGGACCGACACACUAUGCGUGGAACCUGUGAUGCUAGGCCAUCCUUCCUAUGGUUUGACAUAUUGUCUCACCAGUAAAGGGUAGAGCUGGAACCCACCAUGAAAUCCUGGCCCAGCAAAAUACGUGCCCUAGAGAAGAAGGACCACAAACUCAAGACAUGCUUCUGGGCCGGAGAGUUCCUGACCUCACUAUGCUGCCUGCGCAUGUUCUUGAACUUCGGAUUCUCUUGCUUCUCCUUCUCCCCCCCGCCCCCGACCCCCAGUGCUGGGAUCACAGGACUGCACCCCUAAGCCUGGCUUACAUACUGCUGUGGGUGGAGCUCAGGGCCUACUGUGCUCCAGCUGACAACCAAGCCCCAGCUGACAACCAAGCCCCAUCCUUAGCUCUAGUCCUUCACGUUGACUCUGCCUCACCUCUCAGAGAAAGAUGCUCUGUGGCCUGGAGCUUUUCCGGACUGUGUUUGACAACUGGAGUCAUUCCUAGAGCUUGCGCAGUAGACCAGGCUACUAGGCUACUACUACUAGCAGCCUCUGCUUCUGCCUCUUGAGUGCUGGGACUAAAGGCAUGAGCCAUCACUGCCCAGUAGCAUAUAUAUACAUAUAUGGAGCUGGAGAGAUGGCUCAGUGGUUAAAAGCACUUGUUGCUCUUGCUGAGGACCUGAGUUCAAUUCCCAGCCUACACAGUUGCUUACAUGCUUACAGCCAUCCAUAACUCCAGUUCCUGGGGAUAUGAUACCCUCUUCAGACCUCCUCAAGCACCAGGCACAUACAUAGUACACAUAUAUACACUCAUACACAAAAAGUAAAUUUUUAAAAAUUUGUUUUUA
rnacentral:lncRNA from 1 species